rnacentral:rRNA from 1 species
UAGGGAAUCUUACGCAAUGGGCGAAAGCCUGACGGAGCAACGCCGCGUGAGUGAUUAAGGUCUUCGGAUCGUAAAACUCUGUUAUUAGGGAAGAACAAAUGUGUAAGUAACUAUGCACGUCUUGACGGUAUCUAAUCAGAAAGCCACGGCUAACUACGUGCCAGCAGCCGCGGUAAUACGUAGGUGGCAAGCGUUAUCCGGAAUUAUUGGGCGUAAAGCGCGCGUAGGCGGUUUUUUAAGUCUGAUGUGAAAGCCCACGGCUCAACCGUGGAGGGUCAUUGGAAACUGGAAAACUUGAGUGCAGAAGAGGAAAGUGGAAUUCCAUGUGUAGCGGUGAAAUGCACAGAGAUAUAGAGGAACACCAGUGGCGAAGGCGACUUUCUGGUCUGUAACUGACGCUGAUGUGCGAAAGCGUGGGGAUCAAACAGG